rnacentral:rRNA from 1 species
CUGGUUACCAAAAACAUAGCCUUUACCAAAUUUAAAGGUGGAACCUGCCCAAUGGGGUUUUAAAGUAAUAAUAAUUUUAUUAUAAUAACCCUUAAAGGACGCGGUAACCAUAACCGUGAUAAUGUAGCACAAUCAAUUGUCAUUUAAUUAAUGAAUAGUAUGAAUGGUCUCACGAAUGUUUAAUUGUCUCAAGUAAAAAUUCUUAAAAUUAAAAUAAUAGUUAAGAUGCUAUUUAAAAUUGUAAGACGAAAAGACCCUAUAGAGCUUAACUAUAACCUUCUAUUACAAAUAUAUUAGGAGGUGGGUAGUUUAGUUGGGGCGACUAUUUUUUAAAUAAAACAAAAAUAAGCAAUAUUAAUAGAAUAAUUUAUUGUAUAAAUAAUAAUUUUAACAAUUAUAAAAAUAGGCUAUAAUGACCUGUUAAUGUAAUAAUAUAUAUUUAACAAUUAAUAAAUAAAAGCUACCUUAGGGAUAACAGGAUAAUUUUUCUCUAAAGUCCUUAUUAAAAGAAAAGUUUAUCACCUCUAUGUUGAAUUAAGAUUACCUGAUGGUGUAGAAGCUAUCAAAGGUAGGUCUGUUCGACCUUUAAAAUCUUACAUGAUUUGAGUUCAU